GGCUGCCUGAGAGUAGCGAGUGACAGGUAAGGGCUCUGAACCUUCCUGCGUGCUACCCAAGGAGUGCCUAGGGCUACCAGGAGGCCCAGGGAGGAACCUUGAGACCUGAGAAAGGCUUUUCUUCCCCGAGAGGACCACUGCUCAGGCUCAGAGGCCAUGGGGUGAAGUGCACAAAAAAGUGGGCGUCCAGCCAUGCUCUAAGUCCCCCGAAGAUGAAGACCAGGGAGCAGCUUCCUCCAAUGAAGCAGCAGCAAUCAGAGGACCAGGAGGCUGAAGCCCUGAGCCCAGCCAGAGGCAGGAUCAGCCAAGUCUGGGACAGGCUUCAAUUAUUUUAGGGGACAUCCACCUUCUGUCUUCAAACAGCAGAGCUUCUGGUUCCUGGGCCUUCAGACUUGGACUAGAACUUCACUACCAGCUUUCCUGGGUCUCCAGCUUGCAGAGAGCAGAUCGCAGAACUUCUUAGCCUCCAUAAUCACAAGAACGUGUUUGCUUCCCCUUCCACCAUGAUUGUAAGUUUCCUGAGGCCUCCCCAGUCCUGCAGAACUGCUUUGAAGAAGACCACUGCGUCGGUAUUUGUGAAAUGUUUUGAGCCUCUGGAUUUAAAUAAGAUGGAAAACCAAAGCUCAGGGAGUUUUACAUGGGCAGGCAGCUGGUGAGGGCUGAGACUGGAGCCAGGCCAGUGGUCUUCAAAGGCUUUAGUCAAACUUUUUGACAGAUAUAAGAAAACCGAACUAAGGAAAAUACUUUCCUGGGAUCAUCCCUAUAUGAAGUGGCAGACCUGGAAUUGCUCCCUGUUUCAAAACAUCUCCCGCCCCCACCCAGGCCUGCUCAGAAGAACCCAAGCCACUCAGAAGCAGGAGGCAGCCUUCACCCCAACCAGACCAAUAUCCGUUCCAGACUCAGGAUUACAACAAUCUGGGAGAGGGUCAACCAAGUCAGAGUCCCACAUGGCAGAAGAGCUGCUUUAGCUUAAGACUCUUAACUCUUUUUCUUCGGGGCAGGAAAGGUUUGAGCCAAUGAAGGAUGAGGCUUUCCAGGCCCAGGACACAACCUUGAUCCAAGGCCUAGUUGUGGCUUUAAUUUUUGUAAAUCAAGCCUCAAGUUUUUCUUCACUCUUUUAGCCAAAGAUAUGUUUCCCAGGAUGCAUGAAAUAAAUAAAUAAAAUGUACCAAA
rnacentral:lncRNA from 1 species